UUUGGUGGACAGGGGUCCCUGCCAAUGGCAGAGGGGUUGGAACUGGAUAAUCUUUAAGGUCUUCCAAUCCAAACCAUUCUAUAAUUCUAUGAUUCUGAUUCUUUACAUCUCCUGCAGCAACUUGAGGCCAUUUUCCUCUUGUCCUCUUGCUUGUUACCUGGCAGGAAAGGCUGAUUCCUACCUCACUAAAAAUCAUUUCAGGACUUUCCUCUGAAACAGGUUUCCAGGCUCCUGCUUCUCUUCCUGGCUGAGAGGGAAGGAAUGAAAAUCAGAGCAAGAAAUUGCAGGGCAUGGUCAGCUGCGCUGUCACAUUUUCACCCAUUCUUGUUACUGAGAGUUUCCAUGUGGUGUUUUUUCAUCUUAAGCCCACAGACAACUGCAAGGCAUCUUCUUUUGAAUCAUUGCUGUUACAGCAAUAAUUUGCGCAAUGGCUAAAAGCAGAGUAAUCAGCUGGUAGCCACAGAUCAAGAACAAAACAUCCCAGUCUCAGGAAUAGCUACAUUUUGGUCAAUUAGUGCCAAUCUGGAACCUGUAGCCUGGAAAUGAAUGAAACCAUUGUAAGUUACUUUGGUUUAUUUGAAAACUAAACAGGAAAUAUUUCUUACUUAGACAAUUGACAUUUAUUCACCAGAGGCCAUCUGAAAGUGCUUAAUUUGGUCUGAAUAUUCUGUGGAAUUGGAUGCUUUGUCUUUCAUAAUUUGUACAGAUGUUUCCCUCAAGCCUUCUGAAUCUUUUCUAGUAUUCCUCCUCUGCUUCCAUAUAUUCACUCAGACAUACAGUCCAUGUUCUUAGGUUAUACCAAGAAAACACAAUGGCAUAUCAAAAAUCUCAUAUUUUUUAUAUGUAGAACCAUGACUUUAAACUUGCUAGAUCCCCAAAACAUGACAUUUCCUUACUUGGAGUCUGAGAUGACUACUUUUUUUUUCUGUGACCACUUUAAAUGGGAGAACAGUGCUACAAAGAGAACAGUCCCCAUUUUGAGUCAUAAAUUAAGCACUUUGUUAAUGUUUUUAAUAUUAUCAAUUUUUAGCAUGAGAUCACAAUGCUGUCUACACAUAUAAGCACAUUGGAUAAAUAACUUAAGGUCAACAGCCUCCUUGGAUGACUCAUUCAUUCUACGGAUAACUGGAUUGAAAUUAAUAUGAACUAGAAUGAAAUUAUAUAUAAAAUAUAUUUUUGUGACACAGAAAUAAAUAUUACUUUAAAAAUUAAUAAAGAAUUAAUUAGUAAAAAAACUUGAGUCUGCACAUCCCCUAAUUAGAUUACAUAAGAGAACUUAAUCACUUCAGGUUACAGCAGGAUGACACAUAUUAUGCUUUUCAUUGCAUGUAAUAAUAAAUGCAACAACUCUAAAAGUUUAAUAGAGAUACAGGAACACAAGUUCCUUUUUGCAGCAGCACAAACACCACAUUAGUUCAUAUUAAAUGUAGCUUUACAAGGAUUUUUUUUCUUGUGAAUUUAACAUGUUUUUGACAACCUGGUGCUCAGUAAAUAGUGCCAUGGAAGCUGCCAAUCACGGACAAUUACUUGGAUGUAUAAUGUGCAUCUGCAAAGAUUACUAAACAAGAUACUUUCUCCUGCUAUUAAAUUAGAAAUAAAGCUUCAUUCUCUGUGAGUUACAAGUACUGUGGUAGCUGUGAAGUGUUUCUGAGGUUUGCUGCAAAAUCUGUGUGGCAUCUGAGAACACACAUGUGAAAUACAGUGCAGUGCUGAGAGAUUUCUCAAUACCAUCUCUUCCUUAUCUGGAAGAUACUGUUUUUAGGGGGAAAAUAUCUUGUCAAUUAUAUACUUUUCUAUCUCAUUAACAGUUCAAAUUAAUUGGUCAGAGGGACCAAUGACUUUAAAACACAUCUUUGAAAACUGGAAUGUCUGAAAUAAAUGUAAGACAUUAUUUAAAUUCAGGAAGCAAAAAUAUAAUACUAAUUUUAUCUUUCCUCCAGAUUUACCAACUAUCAAAACUAAAAUGUCACUCCCAUGAAAUAAUCGUAAGUUUUUGUUGAGAUUCAGCAUGGUCUGAGAGACCUCACUUUGUUUCUGGGCUGGUCAAAGAAGUCUCAUGGGACUCAGUUUCCAAGGAGGUGACCUAUAAUCCCUUCCCAUAUAAACUAGAAAGAAGGGCCAUCUGGGUCGCUAGGGAGAAGGGUUAACAAGUGAAGCUGAUGUGACUCAGCUUGGCUCUGGGAGCUUCUCAGGGAGAACAUGACCCUCUCUGGAGGCCAGGAAAGCUUCACUCAGCUGCAGGGACUCAGUAAGUGGUGUGGUUGUGGAUGUAUGAGACUGGCCUGGCUGGGAUGAAGCACUGUCUGUAAUGAGAAUGACAAGGGAGGGAGGUGACCGGGCUAGUAUCACAUUGCUCUGCUUUCUACUCCUUCAGGGAUUACAAACAUGCCUAUAAAUGGGUAAGGUGAAAGUAAAGUUUAGUAGAAAUUCAGAGAUGGAUUGAAGUUAUGCUGUGGCUUGAUACUAGGAUGCUGAAUACUAACAUUUCCCUAAAAUAUGCAAUGAAUUAAAAAGAAUGCUUGUUAGACUGUCAACUGGUAAUGAUAGGAAUGGCAAUAGAAUUUAAAAUAUUUGAAUUAGUUCUAGUUGUGCUAAAAUAUAAACUGGAAGCACUGUCCAGGCCUCAGGGCAGGUACCAGUGCAGGCUGUGCCUCCCAGGUGGGGUUUAUCAGUUUCCACUGGGAUCUUUCAGCAGUGGAGGGGUUUGGAGCAGCUGAUGCAGCUCCAGAACGCAGCUGAUGCCAGGCUCCAGCGGUGCUGCCAGGGCUGGUUACACACUCUCCUGGCAGCCUCGCUGCCCUGCUCACUGUGUAGCAGCUGGAAACAGCCCUGCUUGCACUUCAGGCUGAGGGUUUCCAGAUUUACUCUGUUGCUGACUGUGCUGCAGACAGCAGAGCCCUGCUCCUAGACCCAAUCCCUGCUUGUGACCAUUUUCGGCUCUGUGCCUGCUGCAGAGGAGCAGCCACCAGCUCAGUGAGUGCAGUUAGUCACAUACCCAGGUCCUGUACUCUUCACUAGGAAGUUUUUGGGAUCAUAGUCAAUACAUGGAGUUAGCUGUCCUUUGAAGGCUGAUCUGAAUUUCAGAUUCAGUCUUUUAGAGUACAGUCUACUUUCUCUGGUCCUCUGUCCAAAGGUGUUUUGAUUUUAUUAAAACAGCUAACUAAACACCACAAUCACCUUUGAGCUUUUCUACACUUGACUUACAGUUACAUUUUAAAGCCAUUCAAAAUAUCUACCUGGACCUGUUCUGAAGAUUGAGCACAGCUGGUUUCUAAACUGAGCUAAAGGAGUCAGUGUGGUAUCUUUAUGGUUAGGAUCACAGCAUUAAUUAAACACAAGGACAAUUUAUGUCACGUAAACAAACAAGCAUUUCUAAAGCUCCAGAAAACUAAAUAUGUAAUGCUUUUAUCUGACUCAGAAGUGCUUUAAAUACUAUGGAUCAAAGCCUCAUUGUAAGGAUUUCUCCAGUUUUUGCCUAAUGUGAAAUCCUGUUUGAGGGAAAAAAAAAAAGGCUUUUUUAUUACCUUAUAAUAUUUUUUGUCUUUUUCAGAUAAAUAAAGUAACUGUGUCCAUACAAUUAAAAAAUAAUAUUACCAUGUAAAAAAAUGCAAGCUGUAACUGUGGUAAUCUAAAUUUUAGAACCUAAAUUUAGCACCUAUAAGGUAGAGGAAAAAUGA